rnacentral:rRNA from 1 species
GACGAAGGGGGCUAGCGUUGUUCGGAAUUACUGGGCGUAAAGGGCGCGUAGGCGGCACUGUUAGUCAGGCGUGAAAGUCCUGGGCUCAACCUGGGAACUGCGCUUGAUACGGCAGAGCUAGAGGAUGGAAGAGGCUCGCGGAAUUCCCAGUGUAGAGGUGAAAUUCGUAGAUAUUGGGAAGAACACCGGUGGCGAAGGCGGCGAGCUGGUCCAUUACUGACGCUGAGGCGCGACAGCGUGGGGAGCAAACAGG